GUUUGAUGCCAGGAUCUUACUGUUGCUGCUCCUGUCUGGGGCAAGAGCAUUCAUGAUCCACAACACCCAGCACAACCUGUGUCUGGAAGAUUCAGCAGAUACAGGUGUCUGUCAGCCCAGCACGAAGGGCCAGUGCACACCCAGGAUUGCCAUGAACCCGAGGUGGAUGCUGCUUGGUUAAUAUGGGACUGUGACCGGGACCAACUGAUCAGUAGAAAGCUAUCAAUGCUUCUGUCACACAAUGGCCAGCAUGCGAUCCUCGUACAACACAGCAAACACCCAAAGUGGAGAUCUCUGGAUCAGGGGGACAUCUGCCAGGAAAGAUUCAGACAUCGGAGAGCUUCUGACGAUUUGACGUACGAGGAUGAAGCACAAACAGGAGAGCUGACAGCUAUGACAAAGGAACAAAGAGAGUAUCUACGUUGGUUCUACCGCACAGAGGACUCAACCACAUGGACAUUUGUACUGCUGGGACUGGCCUUUGUCUGCCUUCUUGUUGGUUUUCUUCUCCUGGGAAUGGGAG
ensembl:lncRNA